UCCGGUUUAUCACCGGCAGUCACCUUAGAGUGCCCAACUAAAUGCUGGCAACUAAGAUCAAGGGUUGCGCUCGUUGCGGGACUUAACCCAACAUCUCACGACACGAGCUGACGACAACCAUGCACCACCUGUCACUCUGUCCCCCGAAGGGGAAAGCCUAGUCUCCUAGGUGUUCAGAGGAUGUCAAGACCUGGUAAGGUUCUUCGCGUUGCGUCGAAUUAAACCACAUGCUCCACUGCUUGUGCGGGCCCCCGUCAAUUCCUUUGAGUUUCAGCCUUGCGGCCGUACUCCCCAGGCGGAGUGCUUAAUGUGUUAACUUCGGCACUAAGGGCAUCGAAACCCCUAACACCUAGCACUCAUCGUUUACAGCGUGGACUAC
rnacentral:misc_RNA from 1 species